rnacentral:rRNA from 1 species
CCUACGGGAGGCAGCAGUGAGGAAUAUUGGUCAAUGGGCUUACGCCUGAACCAGCCAAGUCGCGUGAGGGAAGACUGCCCUAUGGGUUGUAAACCUCUUUUGUCAGGGAGCAACGCCGGCUACGUGUAGCCGGACUGAGAGUACCUGAAGAAAAAGCAUCGGCUAACUCCGUGCCAGCAGCCGCGGUAAUACGUAUGGAGCAAGCGUUAUCCGGAUUUACUGGGCGUAAAGGGAGCGUAGGCGGCCUGCCAAGUCUGAUGUGAAAUACCGGGGCUCAACCCCGGGGCUGCAUUGGAAACUGGCAGGCUGGAGUGCCGGAGAGGCAAGCGGAAUUCCUGGUGUAGCGGUGAAAUGCGUAGAUAUUAGGAGGAACACCAGUGGCGAAGGUGGCCUGCUGGACGGUGACUGACGCUGAGGCUCGAAAGCGUGGGGAGCAAACAGGAUUAGAUACCCUUGUAGUC